UAUAUAUAUGUUAUUUACCUGCUGCGAGGUCCGGAUGAGAAAAACUGUGCCCGAGGUCUUGAAAACGGCCCGAGCCCGACGGACGUUUUCAAGACCGAGGGCACAGUUUUUCUCAUCCGGACCGACGCUGCCGGUAAAUAACAUGUUUAUU